rnacentral:rRNA from 1 species
UACAGAGGUCUCGAGCGUUGUUCGGAUUCAUUGGGCGUAAAGGGUGCGUAGGUGGCACUGUAAGUCGGGUGUGAAAUCCUGAGGCUUAACCUCGGAACUGCAUUCGAUACUGCGGUGCUUGAGGACUGGAGAGGAGACUGGAAUUCAUGGUGUAGCAGUGAAAUGCGUAGAGAUCAUGAGGAAGACCAGUGGCGAAGGCGGGUCUCUGGGCCGUAACUGACGCUGAGGAGCGAAAGCAUGGGGAGCGAACAGG